UUGGCUGGCUGGCUGUCACUCUCCCUCGUUGCCAUGGCUACCAGCCAUGCUGCUACAGGAGCUGCCCACGUGCGCGCACCUGGUCAGCUCUCAGACCCUAUGAGAGAAGCGGUCAGACUGGUGGGUGAUAUCUGCGUGGCUUUUCAACGAUAGUGACUGACAACUGAGGAACACCAAGGGGCUGACACACCGUAAUGGCUUCAUUUCUGAUGGACAGGUCACCUGCAAUCUUCCAUAGCCCUGUGCUUCUCACCAGUACACUGAUUGGACAAUGCUGGCUGGCCUGGAUUACAACCACCGUGUCCACUGACCAGUCAGGAGAAUAACUGAUGACACAGUACAGCAAGGUGUACAACAAAAGGUCCAGGAAGUGGAGCUUAUACUCAUUGAAAGUGGAGAAAGACAGUUACAUCGCAGACCUCCAGAGUGCCUGAGGAGAUGCCUAGAAGCAGAACCAGGAGACCUGGGGCCUCAUUUAUAAACGUUGCGUACGCACAACAGAAGGCGUACGCCGCUCUCUACGCAAUAAUUGGUAUUUAUAAAAAGUAAACUUGACGGUAAAAUGUGCGGUCCUUCAAGCAAGCUCUUACCCAGGCGUACGCACAAAAAUGGGUGAAAUGAGAAAUGGCGACACCGUCGGCAGAUGGAAGAAACAGGUGAAAGUGAGUGAAACUGUAGAUCGUUGUAAAAUAAAUGGCAAUACUGCCUCUCAUAAAUAACACGAAGACUUCACAAAGCAAGUCUUACAAUUAACAGCCUACACAAACACCCGUUUGAUCGAUCUGCAACAGAAAUGCAAAUUAACACAUAUUUCCAAAAAGUGAAAUAUGUUCUGCAAUAACAUUGGCAUGUUAUACAAUUCAUCCUCAUAAAUAAGAUGGUAAACAGAACGAAAUAAUGUACAAAACUGAUAUUCUCACCAAUGUGUCCGUCUGGCGGAGCAGAUAUAGAUGCAAUUAGAUAGUCAGUCAGAUAGAUAGAUAAUUAGGGAGAUAUAUAGAUAGAUAUAUAGAUAUAUAGAUAAAUAUAUAUUAUUUGUCCACUGGGGAAAGUUGUUUUCAUAGUAAAAAUGUCUUCAUCAGCUACGGAAUCAUGGUAUUCAUGCAUAUGCCUUUAGUUUGUUUUAUUUUUGAUAAAAUAACGUAUGACGUAUGUCUCAACCAUUUAGAAAGAAAUUACAUUUGCGCUGAACUAUUUCCCAUUUCCAAGUAGAUUAUAACCGACAUCUGUAGCUUGUCAGAUGCAAUUAAAUGGAUGGAAAUAAAAUGCCCCAUCACAAUGCGUAAUGACGCACAAUGGCUGAUCUUGCGCUCUUAGAAGAUGUGGCAAAUGGAAGGAUUCGGAGUGAACGCAUCUUCAGACAGCAAGAAGACUUGUUGGCAAAUGAGGACGAGUGGCUUAUGAGCCGGUUCCGACUUCCUCGAGCCGUCCUGAUGGAGCGCUAGACGCUUUUUUGCUUCGACUUUGAUGUCCGACCAUUUCUUUUUUAUUUCAGCCACAGUCCGAGGUUGUGAGGCUACAGCAUUUACGGCGUCUGCAACCUUUUGCCACUCAAGUGCCUUUUUGGCAUUAGUAAUGCCCACACUGUGCCCUCCAAACAACAUUUUUCUCCUCUUUUCCACCUCGCCAACGAGUGAAGUUACGUUUUUUUGAUUUCCUCUCUGUGUUUGCCAUGAUUUCGCAAUCAAUGAAUAUUAACUUGUGGGCGUUUCACGGACUAUUUAUGGGCAACUAUGGGCGUGACAUGAAGCCGCAAA